rnacentral:rRNA from 1 species
UACGUAGGGGGCAAGCGUUGUCCGGAAUCAUUGGGCGUAAAGAGCGCAUAGGCGGCCCAGUAAGUCCGCUCUGAAAGUCAGGGGCUCAACCCCUGAAUGCGGGUGGAUACUGCUGGGCUAGAGUCCGGAAGAGGCGAGUGGAAUUCCUGGUGUAGCGGUGAAAUGCGCAGAUAUCAGGAGGAACACCAAUGGCGAAGGCAGCUCGCUGGGACGGUACUGACGCUGAGGCGCGAAAGCGUGGGGAGCAAACAGG